UACGUAGGGGGCAAGCGUUGUCCGGAUUUAUUGGGCGUAAAGCGCACGUAGGCGGCUUUGUAAGUUAGAGGUGAAAGCCCGGGGCUCAACCCCGGAAUUGCCUUUAAGACUGCAUCGCUUGAAUCCGGGAGAGGUGAGUGGAAUUCCGAGUGUAGAGGUGAAAUUCGUAGAUAUUCGCAAGAACACCAGUGGCGAAGGCGGCUCACUGGCCCGGUACUGACGCUGAGGUGCGAAAGCGUGGGGAGCAAACAGG
rnacentral:rRNA from 1 species